UCUAUUAACAUUGGCACUCAAGGCCUCUAUUUAUCCACAGAGUAGGUAAAACAUGGCCAGCAGCACUAUCUGCAUCCCUAUGCUGCUCUACGAAAGUGCUGCUUUGGAAUGAUCAAUUCUAGGUAGGAAAGGACACUGCUCUCUGUGUACCCAUUCAGUUUAGGGCCAUUAAUUCU
ensembl:misc_RNA